CACCAGCCUGAGCCCAGGAUAAAAGGACCCUGCUCCGUUCUUCCUCACGCCACUUGAAUCCCGGAGGCCUAGAAUAGCCCGGAGAGACAGUUUCUCUUCCGUCUAAGGAAAAUGUCCCAGCAGCAGCAGCAGCAACAAUGCAAAGUCCCCCCGCAGCCCCCUCCCCAGGUCCCUGUGCCUUGUCCUCCCCAGGUCCCUGGGCCCUGCCCUCCCAAUCCGUGUACCCCACCUCCUCCCAGCCAGCAGAAGUGUCCCCCAGUUAAGUGUCCCCCCCACCAGCAGGAAUACCUGCCGAAGCAGAAGUGACAUCUCGGAAGCCACCCUCCACCGCCUGAUUAUGAAAACACUGCAUCCCCUUGCCCCACGCCAUCCCCUCACUUCCAGCAACAGCAAGGAACACAAACAGCUUAGAAGAUGCUGCCUCUCUUCAGAUUCAAGGAGAAAGAUGCCAUCAUCAGAGUAUAUUGGGUUUUCCUUUCCAAAUCAGUAACUCCUCCCAGCUCAUCUCCCAGGAGACGGCAUGAUACCAUGUUCUCAAACUCUUCCCUAGAAGCACCACCCAUUCUUGUCCUUCUCCGUCAAGGCUGUGGUCAAGACGAGGCCAGACUCUCCACCAGCUGUCUCUUCUACCACACUGCCUCCUGCUGAUUAUACAAGGUCACUACAAGGACACAAAUAAUUCUGGCUGAGCAAUCUGCCUCCCUGGGAAGCAACAACUUCAUAAACUUUACAAAGGAGCAAAUGUGGCCGAAAAAAGAACACGAAAAAAACUGCUUAAACCAAGUGAAGUUCCUCCAGACUUCUUCAGAGCACAAUUCCACACUCCUUGGUGAAGGCGAUGAGGUCUCUGUAUUUCCUCCCCAAUCAUCCCCACGAUCCCUAGCAAAGCUCACCCUGCCUGCUUGUCUCUGAGCCCCAGCCAGUUAAAAGUAUCCCAGGCUCUUUCAUGUCCCUUCCCCCAUGCUUCUCAAUAAAAUUCUUUCCCCCUGA